ACAGAGAAAUCAAUUGCAGAUAAACAAUCAAACAUAGAAAAUAAUUGGAGUGCAUUCCAUCAUCACCCAACAUCCACAAAUAUAGAAUAAACAUUCAAAAAGCAGAGAAUCAGACUUUUAGUUUAGCUUUUCCAAUUAACGAGAACCUCCAACGUUACAAAUUCUGUUUGGAUGCAAAAUUGUUGUGGGACGAAGACUGGAACCAGAACCACGGACGCUGGUGAACUUCGAAUUCAGAGCUCGAACGGACCUCAAAUAGUAGGAAACCUCAGACUACAAUCUCUACUCUACUGGCUGAACGUUGCAGCUGCUGAUGCACCACCAACGUGUGCUAAGGUAGUAGCAGCAGUAGGUAUCGAGAGAAAAGUAGAAGCUCGAAUGAGUGAAAGGAUCGACGAAGCUUGAAAAUCUGAUGUGUGCCUGAUUUCCAGCGUUCUUUGUGUGUGUGUCUGUUUACCUGGGUGUGUGUUGUGGUUGAAGGUUCCGAAAAAAAGAGGAGGGAUUCCUUUAUUGUGGUAGGGGAUUCAAGAGUAGUUUUCCGCCGAUGAUGAAAUCCGGCAGCGGCAGUAACGGUCGUAAAUCUCUUAUGAGAGAAGCUUCGUUUGGAUGGUAGACGAGUGGUCUAGGUUCAAAAUGGAGAGGGUGGAAACAGGUUGAAGAAGGAGAAAGGUCAUUGGUUGAGGGCUGGUGGUGGUUGUGAUCGUUUGGUGUUUGUGGUGUGUAUUUGAGAGGAGGGAGUUGGUGCGUUUUUUAUGAUGUGAAGAAGCAGCCGCUGAUGGAGUUAGGUUGGAAGAUGGCC
rnacentral:lncRNA from 1 species